GAGUGUAGUUAUUAAUUCCCAGUGGAUUUCUAACACUCCUCGAGCCGCUCAGCCCCCCCCGGUCAGACCCACGUUUUCCCUAUUUCUUCCAGUCUCCUCGCUCGCUCCUCACUGUAAUGACCUGAGUGCAGCAUUGCUCAAAGCAGAGAAUUGAUAGACAGAAUCUGCGAAGUGAUUUGUCUCAGUGUGACUCAGCGCUGUGUGGUGCUGCGUCCCAUCUGAUGGGUAUCCGUGGCCGUGUUUGGGGUGCGUGGCUCAUUGUGCAGCUCCUCCUUCCUGUGCGGCUCCACGAGGUGCGGUGGUGUCACAGCUGGGCUGCCUCGUUCCUUUGGAAACAGUCCUGGGAUUACAGCUGGACAGAAAUGGGCGCCGUUUGAAUGUUCAGAGCGGUGCCUUCAGCAGUGAACGUGCCAGAGGUCUUCAAUAGCAACAAGAUCAGCUGGAUUUAUGGCACAGAUUUUUGGGAGCGAUGGUAAUAGGUGUGCGUGUGUCAACCAAGAGAAGAUCAGUGUGUAUGGAUCUUGUCUAUCAGUGUGCAUGCCAGAAGAGUACUAGGAACAACUUAUUUAACAUAUAGCUAGAGAUGGAGUGGAAUACUCUGAGCCUGGAGACAAACUGGAUAUAGCUUUUGUCAGAACAACAGUAUUUCAGUCUGAAAGCGCAGCAUUUCUGUGACCAGCUGCUUGUGUUUCUGCUGUAUUGGCCCACAGCGAUUCAAACAACACAGAGAAACACAGAAGUGUACUGUAAUUCAUCAUAUAAAGUAGAGAACUUUAUUCACUAUGAGAACAGAUGUACCUUCUUUCUCCUAAGUGUGUGCUGCUGCAGCUGAUCACCUCAGUGUCAGGUACAAAUCUGAACCAAGGUUUUGUGGUUGAACUGAAGCCAGUAGGACGUGUUCACGUGCUGCUGAUCCCAGCAGCUUCCUGCAGUGGGUGCAGCUGUAUUUAGACACCGUGUGGAAUUUGCUGCUCUACAUGAAGUUAUUUCUCAGUCCUUUUCAUAAGAAUGUUGCACGCAAAGUUUAAAACCUCAACGUCAGUUUAAAAAACAAAACACUGAAAAACCAGCGCUGUAAAACCUGUGAUGUAUAGCUCUUGAGAGCAAGCUUAGAUUGUUUUUUUAAUGCAUAUGAUAGUUGGUUUGAUGCUUAUGUAUCUUUGCUUGGAUUUGAGGAAAAGUCUUUUACAGUGGUGGUGGUGAGGCACUGGAACGGGUUGCCCAGAGAUGCGGUUGAUGCUCCCGUCCCUUUGUCAUCAGUGAAAUGUUGAAUCAUAGAACAGCUUGGGUUGAAAAGGACCACAAUGAUCAUCGAGUUUCAACCCCCCUGCCACAGGCAGGGUCGCCAACCAUGAGCCCAGGCUGCCCAGAGCCACAUCCAACCUGGCCUUGAAUGCCUCCAGGGAUGGGGCAUCCACAGCCUCCUUGGGCAACCUGUUCCAGUGCGUCACCACCCUCCGAGUGAAAAAUUGAUUGAAGAUUGUGAUUCCGUACCUGGCUGUCAGUCCAGUGUAAACUAGUGUUUACAUUUAUAGACUGCAUCCAAAAUAGGAACUGAAUGCAGUGUGUGUGCAGCAGAAGCCUGCGCAGGAAGCUGGGCCAGCGAGAAUGCAGGGCAUUCGAUGGCAGCACUGGACAGCAGCACAGCAAGCAGUAUGUUUUGAAUGUAGUUAAUUUCCUAAUGAAAUGCCAGGCAGUAAUCAUCAAGCAGACCUGCUAAUUUCAGCAGAGCAGUUAACAUUUAAUUGAGAUAUGCAAAGAAUUGGAACUUGUAGAAACUUCUGUGAGUAUUGAGACCCUCUGAAAACUUGUGGCUUCCUCUUUGUGUCAUGCAUCUGAGAUUGUUGUUUUGAGUAAUGACUUCUCUUUCUGACGCCUGAUGUUAGUAGCUGUGUUGUAGUUUUGAUCAAGUGUGACAAAGACCCGGGACCUACAACACAGUAAGAAAGGCAGGCAUGGAAGGAGUUUGUAUUCCUUCUAUAUAGUAUAUAGAUAAAUAGACAAGGCAAAGUCAGGAUGAAAUUUUAAUCCUAAAUGUAUUUGUAAGUGAUGGUGGUAGUGCUGCCUGUAAUUAAGCUUGCUUCACGUUUCCCGUUAUAAGACCCUGUUUUCAGUGGUGUCUAAGUUGGCCGAAUUUGAACUGUUCAGGCUGAAACUUUCCAUGCUGAAUGUCUGCUUCAGAUGAAUUGGUUUGGAAAGAUUAAACAAAAAAAUGGUUUCAUUGCUUCUGGGAAUGAAAUCAAGAGAAAAAUAUUUUCUUUUGUUGUGCCAAGUUAAUUUUGGUAUUUCCUGGGUUUUGAGUGCUUGGGUCUGUAGCCUUGAUGAUUUUAUGAAUGUACGUUUGUUUCCUUCAGAAAAGGAAAGUAAUAAUAAUGCCUACAUACAUACAUUCAGAUAACUAAAGAGUGUUUAAGUUGAUGUGAAAACUGUAAACAAUUAAGUUGCGUAAGAAACAAUCAAUAUAUAUAGUAUAUAUAGUAAUAUAGUUUGUCAGUGAUAGACACUUUGGUCCUCCCUGCUUUUAGUAACACCCAUGUGGUGUCCAGGAUAUGUGGAAACAUUGCUGGAGCCUUUGGGGCCCUAUUAUAUAUGUGUUUAUUCUAUUCCCAAUUGUUUUUUUUCCUUUUUAUCUCCAUGCCUGUUGGUUACUUCUGACUAUAACUGAGAGCUGAUGUAGUCCUACAAACAAACCUUUGCAUUCUGUUCAUGCUGGAGGAGCUGAAGCAGGGGAAGAAAGUAAUUAUUAACUCUUCCCUAAGUGUCAGUCACUACCAGGGGAAGUCAAUCUGGUAUAUGGCAUCUAAGAGAAACUACAUGGAUAUCUGUUAUGAAGGAGAGAUGCUGUCUGUAAGCACUGUUUGUGUCACAUUGCCACCUAAAUGACGAUGUGAUCCUAAAAGGAGCCCUCAAGCUCCCUUCCCAUACCCAGGUUAUGUAGAUACUGGUGGUGCUAAGAACUUUAACUUCAUUUGCUGGCUUUUACAGUAGGUGAUUAUUUACUGUUUGUUUGUCCUUGCUCCCCUAUCCAAACUACUUCAGUGAGUUUUUUCUUCUGGCAAGACAGAGUUUGUAGUUGAGGUUUGGUUGAAAAAAUGAAGGAUUGCAAACAAGAGCUGUGGUAGAUUGCAGUCUGGAAAAGAAAAAAGUCCUGGGGGACUCUUGCAUUGUAGCUCCUAAAGGCCUCUGAGUGCUUCUGGGGCUGUAUACUUUAACCUGGACUAGAGAAGAGUCUUCGAAGUUCCUACGGUUUGAUUGGGAAGGGAGACAGAGGAUGAAGGCGGUGAGGCACAGAAGUGAAAAGCUCCAUUCAGUGUUAUGUAUCUGCUCAUGGCAGUGAUAGGUUUUUCCCUUCUGUGUGAGGUGAAGAGACAGGCUGGUUGUAGAGCUGUGCUGGGUGACUGGUUGCUGAACUCAUCUGAAAAAAAUCAGUCUGUUUCACAAACAGGAGAAAACAAAGAGUAGUUGGAGAACGCCGGUGUAUGUGCAUAUGGCGUUGUCCUGCAGGACAAAGAGGUGCUCAGGCUUGCGACUGUCCUAGAAACUGUUCCAAUAAUGGAAAUGUAGUGACUUCUGAGCUAAUGUGGAUGAGAUUGCUGUCAUGAACACCCUCCUGUGGAAGGGCUCUACCCAGCAGCUAACAAGCUUGGCCCCGUAAUGUCUCUGAACUCGAUCCCUCAGAAAUGGGAGCGGUGGUAUACAGUGACAGGGAAGUUGUUUGCACAGCAUUUCUCUUGAAAUGACUCCCACUCGCUCUGUUCCUAAUUGAUGUGUACGUUCUUCCACAUGAGAUUUCAGUGGAUGCAGUAUGUUCCUUCACUUCGUCCCCUGAAUGGGUGUGCUAUGAAACAGCUGCCUUGCUCUGCUCUGGAGGUUGGUGCUCUUUCAGAGGCUGAAGUAACUCCUGCCAACAUCCGGCUUGUCUUAUUAACCUGUUGGGAUUGCUCCAGACCAAGUUACAGAGGACUGCUGUGUUAUGUGGCAAAUGAUCUGGAAAAGGUAUUUUAUUGUUUACGUGGAAUUACACUUGCAACUUGUAUCUGUAAUAGCCAUCAGACCUUGCUGUACAGCUUUUGUUCGCAAGGGAAUAUUGAAGCCGUUCUGUACCUUCCUUGGUUGAGGUUCAAAUGCGUAGGUGGAAAUCUGAUUACUGAAAAAGAGCCUUAAGAAAUCGGGCUGUCUUCAGGAUUGUUUCUUGGAAGAAGGAUGGCAGCAGGGCCAGUGUGAGAGUAACUGUGGAGAAGCGGUCAGUAUGCGGUGGUGUUACUUUCCCAGCUGCGCAGUGGGCUUUUCUGUAGUGUGUAGCUUCUUGCACAGCAAUGACCUUUCAUUCUUAUUUCUGCAGUCCCCGAAGUAUGCGUGAUCUGGAAUUGUGCAGUAAUGUGAGUAAUACCUGAAAUCUCGUUAUGGGCUUCCAAAGGAAGUCCUAUGUUUGGACAUCCGGUUGUAUCUUUCUAGGAAAACCUGUUGUUCAUCAUCCUUUCUGGAAAGUGGCUUUGGAAAGGUAUAUUGGCAGAGAGAAUUUACAGUAUUAUUUUAAGACACUUAAUAAACCAUAGUGUUCCUUUAUUACAGUGUAAAGCGGUGUCAGUUUUGAGUUUUAUAAUGCAUUUAAGUGCAGUUGUGGCCUUCAUGAAUAUAAUACCAAUGAUUAUAUGAGAAGGGCACUGCGUAAGCUGAAGAUGAGUUGAGGUUGGACAUUACACACUGAUUUCCCAAGAGGACUCCUUCAGAGCCUGGAGAAGUAAUUUCAAUAGUCAUCUCUUUUCAUUGUAAGCUAAUUACUAAAUAUUGUAGCUGCUUAAUAUAGUAUGUAAUUUGUUCACUUAUUUGUGGUUAUGUUCCCAGAAUGGGGGAUAAAAUUGAAUUGGAGUAUUUGAAUAUUUGAGUAUUGGGAUUAAAAAGAAAAUUUGAGUCAAGAAAUGAGAUGGUACUACUUUGCUAGCUUAAGAAACAGGCCAGAUAGGGAAAUGGUGUGUUUGUAGCUGCUUUGAAAAAGCUUUUCCACUCUGCUGUACCUGGUGCUGUUGUGCUUAGAGUGUGAAGAUAAAAUGUGAAAGGUUGAAGUUAGUUGCAUGUAAAUAAUUUGUGUGCCUUAAUGGACGUCAUGCAGUAGCUUAAGAGCGUUGUGAAUGGAAGGUUUUCUAUGAGCGAAGAUGGUAAUUGCAGUGUGGAAGGAUACAAAUGGUGACUUCAGCCGUGUGGGGCCCAGAGGUGGAAGUCAUCACUCCUGGAAGCAGGAAAGGGAAGUGAGACUGAGUCAAUCAGGAGAGCAGCAAAACUGUGACUGUCUGAUACUCUAGUUUGUAGGAAGGGAGAAGGCGUUGGUUGUGCCAAGGGCACAAGGCCUGUAGUUAGGUUUGUAAGUGCAGCAUCCUCCCUGUCUGUCAAGCUGCUUCUGAUGCAGUCAUGGUCUCUUGGAUCCCAGGAGUGCAUGACAAGGUCCUGUUCUGGAGCACUGAUUUCAUUUGCUUCCAACAGGUGCUUCAUGAGGUUUAUGAACUGUUUUUCUUAAUUCCAUCAAACUAGGGUUUGACUUACUGGGUGCUGGUUUUACAGUUUUAGAACUUGUGCAGCAUAAAAAAAAAAAAUGACGCUUUUUCCGUGACAUCCUCAUUACACGUGAACUGCAAUGUCUUACAUAGUACAGCUGCAAGGUUCCUUUUGAAAGUAACGAUCCCCAGCUCAUACCUAUGAGAAAAUCAAAGCAAACAUUUAGCCCUUGCUGGGAUCCAUUACACAGUAAGGAAAACCUUCCACUCUGCUGAAAGCGGUCUCUUACUUGGUUCUUAAGACUGGGGAGAUAGAGAGGUAAGUAAUGAUCAACCUGGUUUCUUCCCCUCUUCCUCCUUUUCCCAUGAGAGCUCUGUAGAACUCACCAGGUCUGGCAUGGCAGAAGCAUUCUGGAACUCAGCAGUGCUUUUCCUUUGCUCUGAGUAAUGCUCUUGUACUUCUCAGCUGGCUACCCAAGGCAGCUCAGCUCUGCUGGGUAUUACUGGGCAUAUCUACUUCUGUUUUAUAAUUGUUGUGUUUCUUCUGGUAUGAGACAAAGCAGGUUGUUAUCUUAGAGUCACGGUUUGUUCACCUCCUAUGUUUUUCCUGCAGGAGAAACAUGUACGCGGUUGUCACGGGGAGCUGAUGGUCAGGCUGUGAUACUCAGCUAAAAACUGCUCAUCAGAAGUGCUAACAUGCAGAAUUUGCAGUGCUGCAUGCCUGUAGUUGGUAGGAAUAAGAGGUGAAGAAGUCUCUCAAGUGUUAAUAUUCAUUGUGCUAGAUGGGUGCAAAUGGGCAGCUGUGUUCCCAGGAGACAGUCAUGUUGCAGGGGCAUUGAAACAGCUUCUGAAAGAGUAGCUGAGACAGAGAGGUGCUUCUUGAGGACGAAGUUGUCUGUAGACUUCUGGAGAUGCUAAAGUGGGCGAUGGGCUUCCCUUCUUUUUAAUCACUGAUUUUUAAAAGCAGUCCUGGAAAUACAUUGUACUGAUUUAAAUUGCUGAUAUGAGGAGCUUCUGUCCAUUAUGAGGAAAAAAAGCUUAAACUUCAAAACCUGAUGCUGAGUUGCAGUUUAGAUUUUUCUCUCCAAAUAUCCCAGAAUCAAGUAUUUCUUGCCAGGAAAUAUUCUUCUGCUUAAUUUCAGAUGCCAUAUUGUUAACGAAAAGCAGAAUUUGAAUGUGAAAUGAUGCAAAAGGUCCUCGCUUUCAUGAUUGCUGGAUAGCUGCUCCCUGUACAGUUCUCUGUAUACGGUUGAACACGUGGGGCCUGUUAAUCGAACUAAUCAACAGCAUGCUUGAACAGUGGGACGUUUUUAACCUUGGUAAUUCAUCUUGCCCUUCUCAAAGAAAGGAGGAGACGAAGGAUGUUUUGCACUGCACCUGUUUCUGGUUCUUCAGGGUGCAAUGAGUGUAGCCAGUAUCCAGAGACAGGGCUGGAUGGAGUAGUACAGCCUUCAGAGCACGUUGGUGUUUUUCAUUUUUGUGAAGGUUUGGUUUUUUUCCUGACUGAAAUCACAAUGCAGUGCUGCACUCACACAGCUCAUCUUUUUGGAUCGUUGCGUCUCACUUUAAAUAGUGAGGUUUGAAAACUGAACUGGGAGUAGUCCAACAAGUUUAUUCUCUUAGGCCAUUGCAUUGAAAGCAUUUAACAGCUAGCAGGAGCAGGACCAACAGUGUAUCAUACUUGUGCAAAAAGAGGGAACUAGGAAGUGAGCAGCAACUUACUGCUUUUUUUGUUCUGUUCUUUGGUCAGCACAGAGGAACACAACAGAUCUCCUUAGGAGCCUGUGUUAGAUUUCUCAUUAUGACUACAACUUCUGGGACAUCCUUAGUAAAUCAAAGUCAUUUCUGAAUUACCUGAGCACAAAAAAAAAAAAAAAAAAAAAAGAACCGGAACAUAAAGUUGACAGCUGUGAGGUUUUCUUUCUGCGUUCACCUCCCUCAGAAACAGCUGAAGGGAUUUUAGAAGACUUUCCGAAGAUAUCCCCCUUUGCACAUAGGGCAGAGUUAAACAGAAGAAAAACUUAGUAAAUCUACUACAACUCACUGUGUUUUGACAGCUUUUGUCUCUUCCUUAUUGCAGUAGUUUGUGCAUGUGUUUAGUUGGUACCAGUAUUUCAUGGAUAACUGCUCUUAACACAGGUUUUACAAAAGGUUGGUUGCCAUUCAUUAUUUCCCAGGGUGAGGAGUGUGCUGUUAGGCAGAGGUCAGAAUGUGCAGCCAUGGCUUGGGAACAUUUUCUCGCUGAAGUCAAAACCUGAGGAGUGCGCCAUGGGCUGAAGGACUCUGAUUGGAAUAUUGAUGUGAAUCGUGGCUGUGGGAAGGAAGAAUGGGGAGAGGGAGCAACUAAGCACACAUUCACAAUAACAGACAGCAACAAAAACCCCAUAAAAGCAGAUGUAUUUCAUUGAGAACAUAUAAAAAAAAAAAGGGCGAAAGGAACGAAGAUGGCUAAUAUUUCCACAGGUGAUUUUUUUCUAUUGGCUUUCUGUCCCCAGAUGGAAAACAUUCUGUCCCAGCAGCUUAAUCAAGAGUUCAGGAGUUUACGGAAAGGUUGGAAUGAGGUUCAGUUUCUCCGUAUUUUGGUGAAACUGUGCAAUAACUGUUUUCAUUUGACUGUCUCUGUGACACGUGUGCACACCCGGGUCGGAUUUGGCAGAGAAAGAGUUAACAGCAAACUGUACCUCCCUUUCCUGCCCUUUGAAUGGGCCCUAAUGAUUCUGUGCUCUGUAAUGUGAUCACAGAAGUAGGAAGCCAUGAUGAAUUGGUUGGUUGCUGGUCCUGCAAGUGUGUGUUUUAUUACAGCAUGCAAACUUUGUGCUCUGCAGCAUCUAGAGAAAAGGACCUGGAUUCCAAAUCAUAGCUGAGUUUGAUGUGCAAGUCUGUUUUUAUGAGGUGUAUCUGCUGGCUCAGGGCUGAGCACCAAGGAGGUGUGCAGCAGGAUGGGAGAAGCUGCCCUUCUGCUCAAAGCAGGAAGCGUUUCUAUGGGAAUUAAUUUUGCUAUGUUGAAUUUGGGUGUGGAGUGAGCUGCAAAAUCCUUCAGCCUCAUUCUUCCCUCCCUGUUCUAUGUCCUUGUUCAUUCUCUAAAUAAUUUCAUGCAUGCAACUCCAAAAUUCCAGGUGUUCAGUGUGCGGUAGUGUCCCACAAGACCAUCGUCACUGGGCCACAGGACUCCAUGGCAGGGGCAGAAAGCCCACUGGGACACAUGGCAGGAGCAGCAUGGUGGCCUGGGUGUUUUCACAACAGUGGAAAACCGCAUUGUGUAAAGGAACAGUAAGCCAUGUGGGUAAAUGCGAACAGCAGUUUAAACGUGCAGUUUGUGACCAUUGCCUCCCAUACUGUCACUGGGCACCCGUGAGAAGAGCCUUUUCUUGACUCCUUCUCUUCCCCAUCAGGAAAGGAGCAUUUCCUUGUCUGCCCUGGUAAAUGGUUCUCCUACAGCCCCACGUGACGUGUCCUGUCUGCCAGCCAAGGAGGGCUGGCUGUGACAGCUUCAUGGCCCCUCAGCUCUGCUCCUCACAAUGAGCGUGAGCCUUGACAAGUCUGGAGGUCCAGCGGUGUCCAGCUGACUUGUGUGCUCUCUGGCAGUUGGGAACCAGCGCAGCGUCUGCCUGCAGCGUUUCCAGUGGUUGGAGGAGGACGAAAAGUGCACAGCCUCUGUUGCAUGAAGUUCCAUUUGUGACCCUAAACCAGGCUUUGUCAAGUCAGACCUGCGGAAUAUGGGAUGGAAGUCUUCAUUUUUAAAGCCCCGAUGAAAGACACUGAAUAACCACAAUGUGAAUGUCCUCUGCUGUUCUUACCACCAAACGCUUUGGUCCUGGACCUACUCACCGAGCUACUGAAGCGAUGUUCAAUUGGAAACAGUGAUAUGCUGGUAGUGUCCCCAUCAUGGAGGAGCACAAAGGGGUGGUCAAGGGAUAGGAGAAGAAAGGAAGAAUGUCCUUUGUUUCUUCCCUCUGGGACCUUCAAGAGCUGUUGAUAAACAUAAAGAUAGAAAAUACACACAUAAAGAUAGUAGUUCUAAGGGUUGGAAAAGAUAAUGUGAGGCACCCAAGGUUUUUCCCAGGUCAGAAAGCUUUGGAACUGUCCCAGAGUUCAGUUUCUGUGAUCUUCAUUUUGCUGAGCAGUUCAUGGCAGCAGAGAGGACUCGUUGGUGUCCGGACAAAGAGGGAAGAGGAAACCAAGCUGUAAAGAUGUGUGGAAAAGCAAGGAAUUAAUUACUGCUUGCACUGGUUGUUUGUCGCCUUACUGCCCUUCUUGCCUCCCUGGAGCCCAGCUGACUUCCUGGGAUUGCUGAACGGCUGCCUUUUGCCACCUCCUGCCUGUCGCAUCGAACACCAGGGCGAAUUGGGUGGCUCUACAUGUAACACUACAACAAACGUGACAGACGAAGACCCAUCCCUGCGGAGCGGCACUACUCCCUCCACGU